CCUGCCCAAGAGACUGGGAUAACACCUGGAAACAGAUGCUAAUACCGGAUAACAACACUAGACGCAUGUCUAGAGUUUAAAAGAUGGUUCUGCUAUCACUCUUGGAUGGACCUGCGGUGCAUUAGCUAGUUGGUAAGGCAACGGCUUACCAAGGCAAUGAUGCAUAGCCGAGUUGAGAGACUGAUCGGCCACAUUGGGACUGAGACACGGCCCAAACUCCUACGGGAGGCAGCAGCU
rnacentral:rRNA from 1 species